rnacentral:rRNA from 1 species
CUACGGGAGGCAGCAGUAGGGAAUUUUCGGCAAUGGGGGGAACCCUGACCGAGCAAUGCCGCGUGAAUGAAGAAGGUCUUCGGACUGUAAAGUUCUGUUAUGGGGAAAGAAAGUGCAUAAUAGGAAAUGAUUAUGUAUUGACGGUACCCGAUUAGAAAGCCCCGGCUAACUACGUGCCAGCAGCCGCGGUAAUA